rnacentral:lncRNA from 1 species
GCCACUAAUCGAUUUGGAGUGGGUCGAUUAGAAACCCAAGCGAAGUAUCGGGAGAAAUACUCGCUCCUGCGCAACCAGAAAAAUUAGGAUCGGGGACUUGAUUACACUAGUUAAUCACUAAUGCCCUUUCAGUACCUAAUCUUGUUUAAACCCUAAGGCUUUUUGGAUGUUUGAGAGAUUUUCCAUGCAUUUUUGGGAGGAAAAAACAUUUUUUGAGUCAUUUUCUAAUUUUUUUGGACACAAAAGGGAUUUUUUGGGUUUUUUGGUAUUUUUUGGAAAAAUACAAGUCUUUUUGGCUUUUUCUGAAUUUUUGGCUUUUUUUGGAAAAUAUGAAAUAUUUUUGAUUUUUUUGAUUUUUCGAAAAAUAAAAUAUUUUUUAAUAUUUCUUGAUAUUUUUGGAAAAUAAAUUAUUUUUUGAUUUUUCUCGAUUUUUUAGAAAAUAAAACAUUUUUCAACAAUUUUUAAUAUUUUUCGAUUUUCUGGAAAUUAAAACAUUUUUUUAAUAUUUUU